CCCAGCCCGGCUUGGCUUUUUCUUCAGGUGCCUGUGGACAAGUCCCCAAGACAAAAGGCCCCAAAGGGCUACAGAAGCAACAGGAACUUGCUCUUUGGAUAAUUCUCCAGGAAGGGGGCGGGUGAGACACCCCGCAUGCAGUCCUGCUCUGGAAUCUGGACUCCCCGCCCAGCACCCCACCCCGCACCCCUACCCCAGGCAGAGAGCUGCCUGGAGCUGCUCCCCAGAGAACCACACACCAUCUUGCCGACUGACCCUGCUGCGGUGCCCCCCACCCCAGAGGAGACCCAGGAAGGAGUCUGAAAUCAAUUUACAUGGUUGUCAAAUGGCCUUCAGAAAUACGGCCACAGAGCCUGCGCUGCCGGGAGGGCCUCUGCUGACUGAGAAGCUGGCUUGCCUUGCCUGGGGUUGUGCCCGCGCGGCCCCCCUCCCCCAGCCCACCGCGGGCACCCCAACCCCAUGGUUGAGGCCCUCCCGGAGGGGUCCCACGGGCCAGGUCCCAGGGCCACCGGUGGUCCUGGAUGUGCCUUCUUGUUCCCGUUGGCAAGGGGCCUGCAUCAGAGGGUGCCCAGGACCCCAACAGGGAAGUGGGGGAGGAGUGCUGGGGUGACUCGGCCGCGUCUCCCGAAGCUCCCAGGCCGGCCACACUGUCCUCCCCAGGGGACCAGGAGCUCCUCCCGCCAACUUCACACCCAAUCCCUCCCCCUCCCCCUCUCCAGCCUCAGGUUCCCCCCUUCCCUUCCUCGGUUUCCAGACCCCACUCCAGUGCCCUAGGCCGGUCCUCGGACCAGGGCCCCUAGAUCCACAAGGGUCCGCUCUCCUAUGUCAGGGCCCAUGGGGACGCGGCAUUCCCGUAUCCAUACGCUCGUCCCCAAGACACGAGGGUCUCGCUGCUCUGCCUGUGCCGAGAAGAUCCGAAGGCCGGGCCCCCGCCCUGCCAGGCGGACCCACCUCGCAGGCCUGGACCCGCGUGCCUCUCCCUGCGGCGGCACAUCUCCACCCGGCCCUCUUGGAACUCCUCCUGGGCUGAGGAGCUCAAUCCUGGCCGCUGUCUUUGGAGUCUGCCGGGCAUCCUUUGGGUGCCAGGCUCUGUGCUAAGGUGUCGAGGAUUUGAACCAAGAAAGUGCACGCGUUUCCCGCCCCCCGAAGCUCACAGUCCCCCUAAGGGAGGCAGACAGCUGAGGAAGAAGCAGCCUCCACGGAAACCUGCGCUCCCAGAGGCCCGGAACACACGUGGGCCUGGAGGCUGCACCGGAGUGCUCACGGCCACAGACAGCAAGGCCUGAAACGUCCAUCAUAGAGAAAGAAAUUGCAAUAUA